CGCGAACGUUGGCGGCGUGCCUAACACAUGCAAGUCGUGGGGCAGCAGGCUACUGUCUUUUGGCAGUAGUGCUGGCGACCGGCAAACGGGUGAGUAACACGUAGCUUACCUACCCAUAGGUUGGGGAUAACAUCCCGAAAGGGGUGCUAAUACCCAAUAAUGAGGAGACUCCAAAGCCCUUAUGGGCGCCUAUGGAUGGGGCUGCGUCCCAUCAGCUAGUUGGUGAGGUAAUGGCUCACCAAGGCUACGACGGGUAACCGGUCUGAGAGGAUGACCGGUCACAGUGGGACUGAGACACGGCCCGCACCCCUACGGGGGGCAGCAGUGGGGAAUACUGGGCAAUGGCCGAAAGGCUGACCCAGCAACGCCGCGUGGUGGAUGAAGCCCUUCGGGGUGUAAACACCUUUUCUGGGGGAAGAUAAUGACGGUACCCCAGGAAUAAGGGACGGCUAACUACGUGCCAGCAGCCGCGGUAAUACGUAG
rnacentral:rRNA from 1 species